rnacentral:rRNA from 1 species
UAGUCCACGCCGUAAACGAUGGUUACUAGCUGUUUGGUUUUCGGACUGAGUGGCUAAGCGAAAGUGAUAAGUAACCCACCUGGGGAGUACGUUCGCAAGAAUGAAACUCAAAGGAAUUGACGGGGGCCCGCACAAGCGGUGGAGCAUGUGGUUUAAUUCGAUGAUACGCGAGGAACCUUACCAGGGCUUAAAUGUAGAUUGACAGGUUUAGAGAUAGACUUUUCUUCGGACAAUUUACAAGGUGCUGCAUGGUUGUCGUCAGCUCGUGCCGUGAGGUGUCAGGUUAAGUCCUAUAACGAGCGCAACCCCUGUUGUUAGUUGCCAGUGAGUAAUGUCGGGAACUCUAACAAGACUGCCGGUGCAAACCGCGAGGAAGGUGGGGAUGACGUCAAAUCAUCACGGCCCUUACGUCCUGGGCCACACACGUGCUACAAUGGCCGUGACAAAGAGUUGCUACUUUGUGAAAACAAGCUAAAUCUCAUAAACGCGGCCUCAGUUCGGAUUGCAGGCUGAAACUCGCCUGCA